rnacentral:lncRNA from 1 species
UUUAUUUGGUUCCUCAACAUUAAGGUAACUGCAAACAUAUUGCCGUAAGAAAAGAAAAGGUAACUCUCCAACUUUAGUCUGCAAUAACUUAAAGGAGCAGACCCAGG